CUCUCUCUCUCUCUCUCUCUCUCUCUCUCUCUCUCUCUCUUUUUGAUGACAAAGGUGGUUUUUGUCCUUGUACACAUCAUUGAAACAGGCAAGGACAGCAAGCAGCUAAGGGGGCAGAUAGACUGUCAGCCUUCGUCACAAACACAGAGCAGGAAUGUUUCGCUGCAAUCCCACCUGGGCCUGCUCGCCCCGUGAACCACAGAGGAGCCCUUUUAACAAAAAUGAACAGACUGCAACUCCUGCCCUCACUCCGCACUUACAGAAUGUCAUGCCAUAGGAGAGACAGUUUCUCACAGUGAUGGGAAGCGAGACAGAAAAAGGCUGACCUUUCUGUCCUUGGCCUCCUCCAUUGCCAGACUGAGGCCACAUGCAAACUGAGGAACAGUAUCUCAUACUCCACGGAUAGCUUACAACUCAAUGAAUCUCCUGCAGGUGCUGACUCAUCCCUAACACAGUGAUAGAGCUGCUGCCUCAUAGUGCACGAGACCCAGGGCCACGAACGAGGAAACCAUCACCCCAAAUGGAAUGCAAUGCAGAACCAAAGAUCCUAGAGGAGCAAGAUAGACCACUCUUCCGAAAUUCAAUGGGCUGACGUGUAGUACGUGACGGAACGUCACGGCCGCCAUUUUUCAAUGCGACACGCGACUUCCGGUAUGCCACCCGCUGUGAUCCAAAGCAAAGAUUAUAGAGCUCCGCUAUAAUCUUUGAUCCAAAGCAAAGAUCCUCGAGUAUCUUGUAGCGGGAACAGCCCCCUCCUUUGUGUAGUUUCCCUUGCAUUGUAUUGCUUUAACACACACUGCAAAAAAUUAAAUUUAACGUAUAUAUAUUUAAUAUAUUUAUAUGAAUGUGUGUCUGUGUGUGUGAGAGGCAAGUUAGAGAUAAUAAAGUUUAUUCUCAUGUAUCAGAAGCAACUUUGAUUUAAAUCAUCACUAUUAAUUUAUUUGUCUUGUAAGAUGAUAUACAUAAACCAUAAAGGCAAUUAUAUAUAUAAUUAUAUAGUAAUAAUAAAUAUAUGCAUAUAUAUAUAUUUAUACACACACAUAUAUACACACAUACACAUACAUAUGCACACAUACAAAUGCACAUACAUAUUGAUACAUUUAUAUGCAUACAUAUAUACACAUAUAUAAACAUAUAUAUAUAUAUAUACACAUACAUAUAUACACACAUAUACAUGCAUAUAUACACAUACAUGCAUAUAUACACAUACAUAUAUAUUUAUAUAUAUUAUCAUUUUCCAACGAUCAAUAGAUUUACGAUCAGCUCCUGUGGAUUGGAUGAUAGCUAAUGCUAUCCCACUUUUCAAGAAAGGAGCGUGAGAGAAAACGGGAAAUUACAGACCAGUUAGCCCGACUUUGGUGGUGUGAAAGAUGCUGGAGUCAAUUAUUAAAGAUGCAAUAAUGGGGCAUUUGGAUAGCAGUAAAAGGAUCUGUCCAAGUCAACAUGGAUUUAUGAAAGGGAAAUCAUGUUUGACUAAUCUUCUGGAUUUUGUUGACACAAGGCUUGGUGUUGGGGCUGCAACUGUUUACCAUAUAUAUUAAUGAUUUGGAAAAGGGAAAUAGGAGCAAAACUAAUGCAUACAUACCUACAUAUUUAAAUUCAUCUGAUAAGUUGGUCAAAUAACAUGGGCACCUUCUUGCUUUUUUUGAGACAUGGAUUUUUUAAAUGUGAAUGUCUCAUAGCAACACAUUUGUGGGUCAACAGUAUUUUGUACCAACCCCCACAAUUUCAAAUAAUUCUAAAUAGAACUUCUUAAACAAGGAAAACAAUUUUUAUUUACAUCAUUUUGUGUGGCUGUCAAGGUAGCUGUGUUGACUGUAAUUAUGAGACUGCCGGGCAGUAUCACUGUGAAUGGUGGUGGCUGUGUGUUUUAAUGCAAGUGUGAAAAGGAUAGUCAAUUUAAAGAGACAAUGUGAGAACCAUCAGGGUUUCAUCCAGGAACCAAUUUAAAGGCAAGUUUCCAUCAAUUACAGUAUUUUAAUUGAAAAUCUUACUCUUAAUAUUCUUCCUAAUUUAGGCUUUUUGUGUUCCCUCUUGAACCUUGUGUCUCCCAGAGCCUCUGGGGAGGUUCUGGAGAUACAAUCACCCAAUCUUGAGGCAAAUAACCAUCUUUAAAACUGGCAUUGCCUCUGCCUUUAAUUCUACAUUCUCCGAGGAUGCUGGAUGCCGCGACAAUCUCUUGCAACAAGUACAGAAAGGCAGUCAGCUGCAAAAAGAUCAAAGAGAGGAAAGAGUAUGGAAGGGAAAGGCUUUUCAGAAUCAUAAUCAGAUUUUAUUUUCCAAGUAUGUUUUGCAAUAUACGAGGAAUUUCAUUGGCCAGGUCAGUCAUACAAUUAAAAGCAACAGCACUCAAAAACACAUUUUAAUACGGACAUUCACCAAAGUGACUCCUACACAUUCCUCACUGUGAUGGAAGGCGAAAUAAAGUUCAAGUCCCUUCCUUUUGUUCUUCCUCGGUCGGGGGCCUCAAGCCCCCCGUUCAAACUCCGUUCAAUGGUGAACUCCUCUUGGUCUCCAGGCCUAUAGUGCUGCACAAAUCACUGCACCACAUGCAUCUAUUUAUUCAUUUUUCACAUGGUUCAUAUGCAGCUGGAUAUUAACUUGCUGACAUGGAAAGAGAUGCAGUGAGCAUUCAAUAGUUCAGACU